rnacentral:rRNA from 1 species
GCACAAGCGGUGGAGCAUGUGGUUAAUUCGACGCAACGCGAAGACCUUACCAGGGCUUGACAUCCCCUGACCGCGUAUGAAAGUACGUUUUCACCCUCGGGUGACAGGGAGACAGGUGGUGCAUGGUUGUCGUCAGCUCGUGUCGUGAGAUGUUGGGUUAAGUCCCGCAACGAGCGCAACCCCUACGUUUAGUUGCUAACGCGUGAAGGCGAGCACUCUAGACGAACUGCCGUUGACAAAACGGAGGAAGGUGGGAUGACGUCAAAUCAUCAUGCCCCUUAUGUUCUGGGCUACACACGUGCUACAAUGGCCGGUACAGACGGACGCAAAGCCGCGAGGUGGAGCAAAUCCUAAAAAGCCGGUCUCAGUUCGGAUUGCAGGCUGCAAUUCGCCUGCAUGAAGUCGGAAUCGCUAGUAAUCGCAGGCCAGCAUACUGCGGUGAAUACGUUCCCGGGCCUU